rnacentral:rRNA from 1 species
UACGUAGGACCCAAGCGUUGUCCGGAUUCACUGGGUAUAAAGGGUGCGUAGGCGGUCUUGUGCGUCAGAGGUGAAAUAUCCGGGCUCAACCCGGAGGGUGCCUUUGAUACGGCAGGACCUGAGUGCGAGAGAGGAUGAUGGAAUUCCUGGUGUAGCGGUGAAAUGCGUAGAUAUCAGGAGGAACACCGGUGGCGAAGGCGGUCAUCUGGCUCGCAACUGACGCUGAGGCACGAAAGCGUGGGGAUCAAAC